rnacentral:rRNA from 1 species
AGAGGUCUCAAGCGUUGUUCGGAUUCAUUGGCGUAAAGGGUGUGUAGGUGGCGCGCUAAGUCGGGUGUGAAAUUCGGAGCUUAACUCCGAAACUGCAUUCGAUACUGGCGUGCUUGAGGACUGGAGAGGAGACUGGAAUUUACGGUGUAGCGGUGAAAAUGCGUAGAUAUCGUAAGGAAGACCAGUGGCGAAGGCGGGUCUCUGGACAGUUCUGACGCUGAGGCACGAAGGCCAGGGGAGGCAAAA